GAGCUCCCAAUGCCAAAUCAGCAACAAAGGAGGGAGGGGCCCGUGAGGCUCAGACAGCCCCCAGCAGGUGAUCUCUAAAUGAGGGCUUAAAAGAUGAGGAAAGUUUGAGCAAAGGAGAGACAGGAUCCUCCUGUCUGUGCUUGAAAUUACAGACCAUCCAAACCACAGAAAGCUGGGCAGCUGCUGGCAAGAUGGGAGCCGGCGGAGAUCCUUGCCAUUCUUUUAUUUUUUGGACGUGACACACAGCACAUGGGAUCCUAGCUCCCCAACCAGGGAUUGAACCUGCGUCCACUGCAUCGGAAGGGUGGAGUCUUAACCACCGGGCCACCAGGGAAGUCCCAGGAUCCUUUCGAUUCUUGUCCGAG
ensembl:lncRNA